AACGCACAUUGCGCCCCCUGGUAUUCCGGGGGGCAUGCCUGUUCGAGCGUCAUUUAUACCAAUCUAGCCUGGCUAGGUGUUGGGCUCCGCCGCCUGGCGGGCCUUAAAACUAGUGGCGGUGCCCUUCGGCUCUACGCGUAGUAAUUUUCUCGCUAUAGGGUCCGGAGGGAUGCUGGCCAGCAACCCCAAAUUUUUCUAGGUUGACCUCGGAUCAGGUAGGGAUACCCGCUGAACUUAA
rnacentral:misc_RNA from 2 species